AUACGGCAUCAUGGCUGUAUUGAUAGGUUCACACAUAAAGGCUCCAUUUAUGGCUCCGUGACAUUUUUGAUGGUGGAAAUUAAUUAUUCACGGGUUAGGAUUAAAGUAGACACACGCUCGGGGGAGACGGGGCUGUGGCUACUGUUGUGGAGGGGUCAAUAAAAUCUCCCAACAAACAAAAUAGCAGGCAGAGUUGCCCGGGAGUCGAUUACAGCAAUAGCAGGCUAUACAUUUACACAUAUAGAUAGAGAUUACACUUAAAAGAGUGAAUAAACGAAAGCGUGACAACUGCUAUGUUUGUUGGCAUAAAGGGGGGGUGGGAAGUGCAGCACUGCAGGGUUUUGACAAACGGCUGUGUGGACAUUUCAACGUGUAAUACCCCGGGAAGGAGCUGCAGAGCUGUGCGCACAGAGCGAAGGCACUCACCGUCUCCAAGUCUCUCCUACUUUCUCUAAACGCGUUCAGCCUGCAGACUCUGCUGCUGGAGACUGACUUUUUUUCCCUUUUAAUAAGCUAAAAAAAAACUGUGGUUUACGUUGUUUUUUUUCCCUCCUCCUCCUCCUCUUCUUCUUCUGGACAUCCACGAAGGAAAAUAUGCGGCCCUCUAGCGACACCUGGCGGCCACAGUCUUACCCUCAAAGCUGCCGAAGGCUUAAAGAAACAAACGAGUGAAGGCCUCACAAGGAAGAAACAACAUAAUAAUAAACACGGACCCUAAUUUAAACGGAAAAUACCCACUCGUGACAACAAAAUCUGGUUUUGGAAUUAAAAUCAAAUGCCUUGUGAUUUUUUAAAAUAUUUUUAUUGUUAUUUUCUGGCGUUUAUUGGACCAUAAAUUCGAUUUUACAUUUGAUGCUGCCACAAGUGCGCGUCACACAGACUAAAAAAAUAAAUAUGGCCUUAAUUAGUCCCAGGCUUUACUUUCGAGAACAAGUUGGACUUUGAUUUUUUGUAUUUAUUUAUUUAUUAUGGAUAAUUAUUCAAUGUAAAACCCAAAAAACGGCGUAAAACUUUUUUUAAUUUGAAUUUUACACGAAUGCCUCGUUGUACAUUUAAAUUGCACUUCUUAUAUAAUCACAAUAACGUUUAUAAUCAGCUGUUAGUUAUCCUAGUUAUCACGUGUUUAAAUACACAAAUCAGACUCUUACAGAAGCGGAGCCUACAUUUUAGAAGACUUUUUUUUUUUUCGUUUUUGUGAUUUGGAAAAAUAAUCGAUUUUUGAAAAACAAAAAAUUACCAACACGAUAAACUAUUUUAAAAGCUUAUUUAUGUGGAUAAAUGUAUUUAAUAAAAUGCUAAGAUUAUAAAUCCUAAACGAAAUAUUCUGACUUUUUUUUCUUUCGUGUAAAAAAAUACAACAAUUGACACUACUACUAAACUAAUAAAAAUAAUAUACUAAAAACAAAUAAAUAAAGAGAUGGCUUAAUAAAUAAAUAAAUAUUGGAGUCAGCGCGCGCGUGUGCUCUGCAGCUCUGCUCGGCUGCAGUGACACACUUAGAGCAGGUCACCACUGAGAUUAGAGCCCGUCGUUAACGCCUGCUCGGAUACACCAAAUGCUGAUUUAAUGAGCUUGCAUCGGGUGUUUGUCCCAGAAUACCUGGUGUGCAUGUGUUAGUAACGCCACACACUGUAAUCCCCGCGUCCCCCCCCCCGCCCCCCCUCUUUAACAUGUGGCUUUUUACAGGGACAGCCUACACCUGCACUCACAGAAGGCGCCGUGCAGAUUUGGUGGGCGCGCGCGUGUGUGUGUGUGUGAUUUGCUCUUUUAUUUCACUCAGAUUGAACGGGUGCAAGCCUAUAAGGCCCGUAUCCAGCCACAUUACCACAUGUAAUUGAGAGAAGUUUAAGUGGAGGCCGGGAAAGCGAGGAGUUAAUAGCGGUGACCCUCUUGCUGCGCCUCUGUCGCUCAUCAUUUAUCAGGCUUAAGGGGCUUAAACAGGCAGCACAGACCCACCUUUUAUUACAUAUCAAACCCUCUCUCCCUUAUCUACAUUAUAGGAAACGCAUGCAUCGUUGCCUGUUAUGCGGAUUUGGAAAUAGAAACAUGUCCAAUAAAGUCGCCCUCCUCCGCUGAUCAGAGGAAAUAUGGCUUUAGGCGCUGAGCAGACAAACCCAGGCGGUUUAAGCCUUUAUUAAAUUGUCUUAAUUCCCCCCCACUAUACUUUGAAAUGAAUAUAAAUUGUAUAAAUUGUGUUUUUCCACUCGGAGGGGGGGAAUGCACAUACAGAAAGUGUGGAGUUUUUUAUGGCCACAACAUGAAGAAAGUGGAUAAAAACAACUGCGCGGUUUUGUUUGUGUGUUGUUUUUGAAAUGUAAUGAGAUCCGAAAUAACGCAAGUGGUAUUUCAACACAACAGGAUAUAAGAAAAUAAACAAAACAAUAAUAAUAAGGUAUAGUAGCAGUUAUAUAUAUAUCUAUAGCCUAAAUAAGAUAUCAGGGAAAAAAGUGUCUUCACUGCUUUAUUCAUACAUACAAUUAAAGGUGAGGAGGAGGAGGGGAAAAGAGGCUUCCUUGUGAACACUUAUAGUUACAGUGUCUUCUACGCGACUUCCGUCACUCCUUUAUUUAUAGCCUUAAUGAAUUACAUGUCAUUUAGAGGGAAACCAUAAAAACAGUUGGUCUCUCUGUGUGUGUGUGAAUUCAGCCUCAAAGCUUAUUUUUGUGGCCGUCACAUUUUUCUUUUUUUUUUUUUUAAAUAAAAAUAAAAAUGUUUUAAUGUUAAAUGAUUUGUGUGUUAAAACAAAUAUUAGUUGAGGUGGUAUCCUUCUCUUAAAGAGACGCACGCAGGCUCGCUGUGCUGCCUUGAAACUUCAGCCUAAGUUGUCUGUGCUUGAUUCCUCCAAGGAGAGCUCAGUCAGUCAGCCCUGAACGCAGCUGCAUUCACGCCGAGUGACGGAUUUUGAUAUUCUAGUCACACAACAGAGUAAACACCGCUCUCCUAUUCAAUAAACAUCAUUGACAAGGUUCCAUAUCCAGCCAUUAGGAACACACCGCUUAACCCCAUCAGCACCAGCAAAUAGUUUCCAGUUAAAACAAAAAUCAUAGUCUUCAGAUUUCUAAUGUGAAUGUUGUUUUAUUAUAUAUAUUUUUUUAAAACAAAAGUGCAUGUUGUAAAAAAAUAAAAAUAAAGUCAUAUUGUAAAUUUACUGUAAAUCUGUAUUUUUGUAUGAUUUAAUGUAAUGACAUUAAAUAUUUUUAAACGA